CAGUCGCCACGGUAAAACAGAGGAUGCAAGCGUUAUCCGGAAUGAUUGGGCGUAAAGCGUCUGUAGGUGGCUUUUCAAGUCCGCCGUCAAAUCCCAGGGCUCAACCCUGGACAGGCGGUGGAAACUACCAAGCUGGAGUACGGUAGGGGUAGAGGGAAUUUCCGGUGGGGCGGUGAAAUGCGUUGAGAUCGGAAAAAACACCAACGGCGAAAGCACUCUGCUGGGCCGACACUGACACUGAGAGACGAAAGCUAGGGGAGCAAAUGGGAUUAGAUACCCGUGUAGUCCCUGUCUCUUAUAC
rnacentral:rRNA from 1 species